UACGGAGGGUGCAAGCGUUGUUCGGAUUCACUGGGCGUAAAGGGUGCGUAGGCGGUCGGGUAAGUCUGAUGUGAAAUCUCACAGCUAACUGUGAAACUGCAUUGGAUACUAUUCGGCUUGAGAGUUGGAGGGGGGACUGGAAUUCUUGGUGUAGCAGUGAAAUGCGUAGAUAUCAAGAGGAACACCAGUGGCGAAGGCGAGUCCCUGGACAACUUCUGACGCUGAGGCACGAAAGCUAGGGGAGCAAACAGG
rnacentral:rRNA from 1 species